rnacentral:rRNA from 1 species
CCUACGGGUGGCAGCAGUGAGGAAUAUUGGUCAAUGGACGCAAGUCUGAACCAGCCAUGCCGCGUGCAGGAAGACGGCUCUAUGAGUUGUAAACUGCUUUUGUACGAGGGUAAACGCAGAUACGCGUACCUGUCUGAAAGUAUCGUACGACUAAGGAUCGGCUAACUCCGUGCCAGCAGCCGCGGUAAUACGGAGGAUUCAAGCGUUAUCCGGAUUUAUUGGGUUUAAAGGGUGCGUAGGCGGUCGGAGAAGUUAGAGGUGAAAUCCCGGGGCUCAACUUCGGAAUUGCCUCUGAUACUGUACGGCUAGAGAGUAGUUGCGGUAGGCGGAAUGUAUGGUGUAGCGGUGAAAUGCUUAGAGAUCACGCAGAACACCGAUUGCGAAGGCAGCUUGCCGAGCUACUACUGACGUUGAGGCACGAAAGCGUGGGGAGCAAACAGGAUUAGAUACCCUAGUAGUC